rnacentral:tRNA from 1 species
CGGGGCGUAGCGCAGCCCGGUUAGCGCGCCUGCUUUGGGAGCAGGAGGCCGAGAGUUCAAAUCUCUCCGCCCCGA